rnacentral:rRNA from 1 species
UACGUAGGUGGCAAGCGUUGUCCGGAUUUACUGGGCGUAAAGGGCGUGCAGGCGGUUUGUUAAGUCUAGGGUGAAAGCUCCCGGCUCAACUGGGAGAGGUCCUUGGAUACUGGCAGACUUGAGGAGGGUAGAGGAGAGUGGAAUUCCCGGUGUAGCGGUGAAAUGUGUAGAGAUCGGGAGGAACACCGGUGGCGAAGGCGGGUCUCUGGGCAAUUCCUGACGCUGAGGCGCGAAAGCGUGGGGAGCAAACGGG